GCUUGGAAUCCUUUACAAAUCUAUGAACAGAAACCUGAAAAGAGUUUGACAUAUGUUAACUGAGAAUUUAUCAGAAGGAUAAUACUUGCCAUGCAUAUAAUACGAAUGAUUUUUAACUAGCUUUUUUUUGUGGACAGAUACUGGAGCGCUCCUUACAUUUGGUUGGGGGCUUUAUGGACAGCUGAACCCACGUGUUGAGGAGAUCUAAUCAUCAUUGUGUAACUAAGCUUGUCAAAAUAUAUUAUUAUACUAUAUAUCAAAACAUUUUACUAGGGAAAAAUGCUAGUCUGCAUUAAGAUAAGGCUGUAAAAGAUAAUCUAAAACCUCUCUUGCUAUACGUCUGCAACUAAUAUUUGCACUUUCUGUUGGGUAUGUGGAAGUAAUUGAUUUUUUUUUGGGCUCUCUUAAGUGUGGCCAAGGAAGUACAGAUGAUGAAUUGAGUCCAACAUGUGUGUCGUCUUUGUUGGGAAUCCGAAUAGAAGAAGUGGCUGCAGGUCUAUGGCACACGAUAUGCGCUUCAUCUGAUGGGGAUGUGUAUUCGUUUGGUGGAAAUCAAUUUGGACAGUUAGGUACUGGUUGUGAUCAAGCUGAGACUCUUCCAAAAUUAUUGGAGGCUCCAAAUUUGGAAGAGGUAAACGUAAAAACCAUCUCCUGCGGUGCUCGUCACACCGCUGUAAUUGCAGAUGAAGGGAGAGUAUUCUGCUGGGGAUGGAACAAAUAUGGGCAGUUGGGUCUAGGAGAUGUGAUUGACCGGAAUGCUCCAUCAGAGGUUAGAAUCAAAGAUUGUGUUCCCAAAAACAUUGCAUGCGGUUGGUGGCAUACUCUGCUUCUAGGCCAGUCCUCUCUCUGAACAGACUUGACACACUCCAAUUUUUGUUUGUUAGGGGUUUAUUAGAGCAAAAGAUCAGAUUUUUUAGUUGACCCUUUUUUUUUUUUAAUAUACACGUUAGAGGUAUACUACUGUACAUACACCAGCAGCAUUUGUAUGCAAUGUAAGUCUUGACUCUUGAGUAAUCCAGUGAACUUCUUUUUGUUCUAUCAUUAUAUAAAGUUUUCUUUUGGUUAA